GCCUCCUCCUCCCGCCACAGCUUAGCCAGCUGGCCGCAUAGGGCCCAGGCCGCCCCAGCCGCGUGUACGGAAACCUCCGACCCGCUUCCCGCCCAGCGCCAGUCCACCAAAGGGGGAGGGAUGUACGGACGGUUGGACGAGCGGAGGGCCUGGUACGUUCGCCGCUCCGAGGCGCCGUACCUGGUCCGGCGGGUGGGUGGGGAUCAGCGCCUCGGGUGAGUGCAGUGGACCUAGCCAGUAGACCUCCCCCCCGUUGCUCCCCUCUACCCCACCUCUUACACCCCCCCUUCGGGGCCCCGCUUGGGCCCCCUGCUUCCAGGACGGUCAGCGCUGUUGACUCAUACGGCAGUCAGUCGGCGCUCUGGACGUAUCUGUCGGCACUGCGGGUUUCACCCCCUCUCUUGCUUCACCCCAUGAUUUCCCCCCCUCCCGCCCCGCUCCCACCUCAGCCUCCUCUCGUGCGCCUCCAGCGCUGUCAGCGGUGCCAGCCAGCGCAGCAGCUCCAGAACCAGCUCCACCCCCCCCGGCCCCACGGCGGCCAACAUGGCCCGAUCUGAGGUCGCAGCGAAGCAGGGCCCCAGGGCCGAGCCAGGGGGGCCGGGGGCAGCAGCUGCAGCAGCCGCACCCGCACACCUGAGGAAGGCCUCCGCCCCCAGACCAGGUCGCAGGACCAGCCCCAGGAGCACCACACCAAGAUGAACAACCCUGAAUGCGCGUAGGAAGUUUGGGGAAGGGGUGUGGAGGUGUGGGGUGGGGGAUGGGGGGAUU
rnacentral:lncRNA from 1 species